rnacentral:rRNA from 1 species
GAGUGCCCCGAGCGUUAUCCGGAAUUAUUGGGCGUAAAGGGUGUGUAGGUGGUCGCGUUAGUCUUUUGUUAAAACCCGGGGCUCAACUCCGGAUCGGCGAAGGAAACGGCGCGACUAGAGGAUGCGAGGGAUGUGUAGAACUCAUGGAGUAGGGGUGAAAUCCGUUGAUAUCAUGGGGAAUACCAAAAGCGAAGGCAGCACAUUGGCGCACUCCUGACACUGAAACACGAAAGCGUGGGUAGCGAAUGGGAUUAGAUACCCCAGUAGUCCACGCCCUAAACGAUGAUGACUGGCUUUUCGGAGUAUCGACCCUCUGAGAGGCGAAGCUAACGCGUUAAGUCAUCCGCCUGGGUAGUACGGCCGCAAGGCUA